rnacentral:misc_RNA from 1 species
AUCGCUGGCUAGAUUCAUUUCUGGCAUGUGCACGUCCUUGCUUUUUUCGUCGACCUUUCUCUUUCUUUCUUUCACACCUGUGCACCCGUUGUAGGUCCUCGAAAGAGGAUCUAUGUUCUCUAUCACACCCGAUCGUCGUAUGUCCAUAGAAUGUAACGAAUAAAAUACAACUUUCAGCAACGGAUCUCUUGGCUCUCGCAUCGAUGAAGAACGCAGCGAAUUGCGAUAAGUAAUGUGAAUUGCAGAUUUUCAGUGAAUCAUCGAAUCUUUGAACGCACCUUGCGCUCCUUGGUAUUCCGAGGAGCAUGCCUGUUUGAGUGUCAUUGAAUUCUCAACCAUGUCUCGAUCGACUUCGAGGCAUGGCUUGGAGUUUGGGAGUUGCUGGCGUCAAGUCAGCUCUUCUGAAAUACAUUAGCGAUGGACGAGCAUGUCCUGAUGUGCACGGCCUACCGACGUGAUAAUGAUCGUCGUGGCUGGAGCGUUCGGACGUCGCAUCUUCAUGGUCUGU